rnacentral:rRNA from 1 species
UACGUAGGGUGCGAGCGUUGUCCGGAAUUAUUGGGCGUAAAGAGCUCGUAGGCGGCCUGUCGCGUCGGUUGUGAAAGCCCGGGGCUUAAACCCGGGUCUGCAGUCGAUACGGGCAGGCUAGAGUUCGGUAGGGGAGAUCGGAAUUCCUGGUGUAGCGGUGAAAUGCGUAGAUAUCGGGAGGAACACCAGUGGCGAAGGCGGGUCUCUGGGAUGAUGCUGACGCUGAGGCGCGAAAGCCAGGGGAGCAAACGGG